CAGUAGCCCUGAUGGAAGCGGCAUCCUCGCAGUCCCGAAGCAUCGGGACUGCGAGAUACAGCGGACAGCAGGAAAUUUC
rnacentral:sRNA from 1 species